GAGCUGUGCGAGCGUGGGGGGAGAGAGCUUGAUCCUGGAUAGUGUUUGUAUGAUGUGCACACGUCUCUGCAAAUGCUUGUUUGAAGAUUGGCUGUGCUGCAUUUUGGUAUAAUUGGGAGGUGACAUAUUGUCCCUCAUCUCAGUAAACAUUUGGAGGAAGAGGACGAGAAAGAUUGAAUUUUGCAUUCUUUAAUUGGGAAGAAAAGGAAGGUGAAUCCAUGUUGAGCUGAGCUAGUUUUUCGUUGGAAUAUACGUUGCACAUUUAUGGCGAUUCUGAGUGUGAGGGCAGACUUCUGCCAGGCUCAGCACAGCAUUUUCGCUGACAAGUGAGCUUGGAGGUUCUAUGUGCCAUAAUUAACAUUGCCUUGAAGACUCCUGGACACCGAGACUGGCCUCAGAAAUAGUUGGCUUUUUUUUUUUUUUAAUUGCAAGCAUAUUUCUUUUAAUGACUCCAGUAAAAUUAAGCAUCAAGUAAACAAGUGGAAAGUGACCUACACUUUUAACUUGUCUCACUAGUGCCUAAAUGUAGUAAAGGCUGCUUAAGUUUUGUAUGUAGUUGGAUUUUUUGGAGUCCGAAGGUAUCCAUCUGCAGAAAUUGAGGCCCAAAUUGAAUUUGGAUUCAAGUGGAUUCUAAAUACUUUGCUUAUCUUGAAGAGAGAAGCUUC
rnacentral:sRNA from 1 species